UCCAGACUCCUACGGGAGGCAGCAGUGGGGGAUAUUGCACAAUGGGGGGAACCCUGAUGCAGCGACGCCGCGUGGGUGAAGGAGCGUUUCGGCGCGUAAAGCCCUAUCGGCAGGGAAGAAGGAGGACGGUACCUGACUAAGAAGCCCCGGCUAACUACGUGCCAGCAGCCGCGGUAAUACGUAGGGGGCAAGCGUUAUCCGGAUUUACUGGGUGUAAAGGGGGCGCAGACGGCAGCGCAAGCCAGGAGUGAAAGCCCGGGGCACAACCCCGGGACUGCUCUUGGAACUGCGCGGCUGGAGUGCAGGAGGGGCAGGCGGAAUUCCUGGUGUAGCGGUGAAAUGCGUAGAUAUCAGGAGGAACACCGGUGGCGAAGGCGGCCUGCUGGACUGCGACUGACGUUGAGGCCCGAAAGCGUGGGGAGCAAACAGGAUUAGAUACCCCCGUAC
rnacentral:rRNA from 1 species